rnacentral:misc_RNA from 1 species
CGGAUGAUGAUCUAAUUUACAUGUCCUUGGGGGAAAUUCCAUUGAGUAUGCCAGAAUUUUAAUUUCUUUUGUCCAUCAAUAUAAUUAUGUGAUCAAUCUACCGAAGGUGCUUGGACACCCUUGAAUAAGUUUAACUUAAUGUGAUGGUAGGACUUUGUAUUAUGCAAAAGGGAGGAUAUGCAAUUGUUUCCCACAGAUUGCG